CCUUUUCUGUGUGUGUGUGUGUGUGUGUGUGGCUUAAGAACUGUUUCAAUAGUAUAGAUUCAGCAUGACAGCUUCGUAGUUUUCUCCUUACAGGUUUACUAAGGGUUAAAAUCACGAUAAUAGGUUGGGUUAUGUAGGUUGGGUAACGUUUUGGGGUUAUAGGAAAGGGAUGGGAGGAUUGGGUUUGAUUUCUCAUUAUCCUGCAUCCCAGCAUCGUAGUUUUUCCCUUAUGAUUGGGUGUACUAAGGGUUAAAAUCACGAUAAUAGUUUGGGGUUAUGUACCGUAGGUUGGGUUGCGUUUUGGGGUUAUAGGAAAGGGAUGGAAGGGUUGGGUUAAGUUUAUCAUUAUCUUACAUCCCAGCAUUGUAGUUUUUCCCUUAUGAUUGGGUGUACUAAGGGUUAAAAUCACGAUAAUAGGUUGGGUUAUGUAGGUUGGGUAACGUUUUGGGGUUAUAGGAAAGGGAUGGAAGGGUUGGGUUAAGUUUAUCAUUAUCCUGCAUCCCAGCAUUGUAGUUUUUCCCUUAUGAUUGGGUGUACUAAGGGUUAAAAUCACGAUAAUAGGUUGGGUUAUGUAGGUUGGGUAACGUUUUGGGGUUAUAGGAAAGGGAUGGAAGGGUUGGGUUAAGUUUAUCAUUAUCUUACAUCCCAGCAUCGUAGUUUUUCCCUUAUGAUUGGGUGUACUAAGAGUUAAAAUCACGAUAAUAGGUUGGGGUUAUGUAGGUUGGGUAACGUUUUGGGGUUAUGGGAAUGGGAUGAGCGGGUUGGCUUUACAAUUUCUUAAUCAUUAUUCUGUAUUAUAGUUUUCCUGUGGUAAAGUAAGGUUAGGUUAGGUGUGGCAAUGUAAGGUUAGGUUAGGUGUGGCAAAGUAAGGUUAGGCUAGGUGUGGCAAAAUAAGGUUAGGUUAGGUGUGGCAAAAUAAGGUAAGGUUAGGUGUGGUAAAGUAAGUUUAGGUUAGGUGUGGCAAGGUAAGGUAAGGUUAGUUGUGGCAAUGUAAGGUAAGGUUAGGCUAGGGGGGGCAAAGUACGGUAAGGUAAGGUUAGGGUGGAAACGGGACCACUACUUGAGUUUCCACGUGGUGAGAAUUAAGAUUAGAGGUUGGAGAGAAGUGGAGAUGUAAAAGUCAGGGGUCCCAGGGUCAGGUCAUUGAGGUCAGACACGUGAUAAUAUGUUGAGCACUUCCUAUCGCUUCAGGUGUCUCUGGAGCUGUGUUGCCGUUUAUACAUUUACUUCCUCUUAAAUUUGUAAUAUUUUUUUAUAGAGGAGGUAAAUACGUCGGUUAAACAUUUUGGCGAUAGUUUAUGCCCCUAACUUUACCUUAACCACAGAAUUUCCCGUUAUUGUGUGCCAUGUGAUGUGGUAAGGGCCCAUCUAAGUCUCCCCUUUAAGACUUUCCUAAGGCCACAUAGAACAUUAACCGAAUUUUUCAUGGGUGUUUUUUUUCUCGUUCAAGAUGCAGAAGCCGUGUAAAACUAUCACUAGCAUCACAAAACAGUCUAUGGAAAUCCCAGUAACUUAUAUGAGAGGCUUCAAAUUGGGGAACUGAGGCGCUGAUAUGUUAGAAAAAAAUAUGGGCUCUUAUAAACCGCAUACGUCUAUUAUAUAUAUAGCAAGUUAGGAUGAGAGGAUGAAGGGUCAACUGUUGGUCUUUCCUCAACGUGUUAUCAGGGGAAAAGUCCAAAGAAGAGAGACAGAUAAGCCGGCAGCACGUAACUUUGAUAAUUACACAAUAUAUACGAAUUUAGACGCUGAGGUUUUGCUGUAAUGAUACCGUAGGAAUAUAAUAGGACACACACCUCAAAUGAUACAUAUUCCCUUUAUUAUAAUUUGUUUUAUAAGAAAGAAAGGGGUAGUAACCUCUUAUAUAGCUGCCAUUAUGUAUUCCUGCUGUACUCUCUCUCUCUCUCUCUCUCUCUCUCUCUCUCUCUCUCUCUCUCUCUCUCUCUCUCUGUAGGACACAAAUUUUCCCUAUCUGAACCUUCCCUUCUCAACUUAUUUAUUCCCUUGGACAUUAUCUUAUUUAUUUCUAACCAAUGAUAAAAAAAAUUCUCUCUCUCUCUCUCUCU